GACAUAGGUGGCAAACGUUAUCCGGAAUUAUUGGGCCUAAAGCAUCCGUAGCCGGUUCUACAAGUCUUCCGUUAAAUCCACCUGCUCAACAGAUGGGCUGCGGAAGAUACUAUGGAGCUAGGAGGCGGGAGAGGCAAGCGGUACUCGAUGGGUAGGGGUAAAAUCCGUUGAUCCAUUGAAGACCACCAGUGGCGAAGGCGGCUUGCCAGAACGCGCUCGACGGUGAGGGAUGAAAGCUGGGGGAGCAAACCGG
rnacentral:rRNA from 1 species